UACGUAGGGGGCGAGCGUUGUCCGGAUUUAUUGGGCGUAAAGAGCGUGUAGGCGGUUCGGUAAGUCUGUCGUGAAAUCCUGAGGCUCAACCUCGGGCGUGCGAUGGAUACUGCCGGGCUAGAGGAUGGUAGAGGCGUGUGGAAUUCCGGGUGUAGUGGUGAAAUGCGUAGAGAUCCGGAGGAACACCAGUGGCGAAGGCGACACGCUGGGCCGUACCUGACGCUAAAGCGCGACAGCAUGGGGAGCAAACGGG
rnacentral:rRNA from 1 species